CCUUCCUGUUAGAUGCUAAUAGAAGCUAAACUUGUGUGUCUCUUCUUUUCUUUAUUGCAGUGUCAUGUUGAGAUGACAAAAUUACCACAUUACCCUCAGCCCAUCCAAGGUUGCCAGGCCAAUAUAUCGAUGGUCCGGGGUUGAAGGGUUACAAGUCCCAGGAGGUGUCAACCUCAUUACCCCAGAGUGGAUCAACCCAGCCCAGGGGGCUCUCUGAGUAUUUAGAGGAGCAUGCUGGUCCCACAAGGGUUCUGAUUCAAAUGCCAACAUCUGUCUGGCGACGGCGCCGAGACGGACCAGGACACCUUCAUCAGAGGUAUUCUCCAGCUGACAGAAGCCACAAGGUGGACGAAAUAAUGGAUUUGAACCCGAUGUAGCAGAUGGUUCGUUCGCACACAGCCACCCAAGAAGAGAUCCUGGGAGUUAGAGAGAAAAAGAGACAGCGCUCUCGAAAACAGCUCUGCGGGGAAUUGGAUCAAACGUCUGGCUAUCGGAAGCUAUGUUCAAUUCAAGCACGGCAAACCAUUUCUUGAUGUAGUGGGAGAGAGUCGAAGUGGAAACGGGACAACUGGUUCGUAGAAUCAGCUUAGAGGAUUUUCUGAAGUCCUACAUGAGUAGGACAGUCCAGAAGCUUGAUGUUGGCCCACUUUAUUCUACGUUAGUGUUUUAUAAGACCACCCAAAUUGUGUCAGAUUUUUGUCCCACUAGACAAUUUGAGGCAAAGUGCAAGAAUUUAGGAUUUUUUUAAAUCAUUUUUCAGUUCAUCAGUGACAACGUAACAACUUCAUAUUUAUUGCACCUCUAUCAAUACCUGAUACAACAUUAUCAUGUUUGAACGCUUCACCAUUUCUCCUCCAAAUAUUCUUUUUGCCACAGUCAAAUACAACAAACAACCUCACUUUGAGUGAGUGCAAAGCAGGAGUUUAUAAAGGCAGCAGCACAGGUGAAAGCCAUCAGCAAUCAGCAGUCAGCCGGAGGAGACAAGGCACAGGUGAGAGCAGUGAGCUAAUCAGCAGGUUUGGGAGAGGCUGGGAGCAGCAUCAAUCAUGACAGGAAACAGAUUAUUAUGACAAAAAAGUAAUUCAACAAAAAAAUAUUAGUAAAAUUUGAAAGUUUGAAGAACAUAGAAAAAAAUCUGAAUUCUCCUACUGCUAAACAUCCCGGGAUAAGGUUUAAAAACUAACAUUAUGAAGCUGAAGUGUACGCUAGACAUGUGUUUUGUGGUUACCAAAAGGAGAAAGUUAUGAUUUCACAUGAUUUAACAUGGGAAGUUUCAUGUCAACAUCAAAACCAGAACUCCUUCAUUGUCAUUGCGCA